AGAGAACUGGAUCGGGCAGACCUUAAGCUAUCAUGCCAGGCAUGUCGGUUUGCGAGUGAGCCUGCCUUAAAGUCUGUUCACUUGUUCGGACAAUCUUACGAUCACAAAACCCUGGUAGAGAACAAGGCCUCACUUGUAGAUGGCAGUAUGGUAAGAGGAACACCUCAAGAAGAUUUCUUUGAGUUCCUGAUUGGAAAGACAGCCUCCCUGUAUGUCAUGCCUUACCACAGUCUGUAUCAUUUCAAGUACAACUUGUCCAAAAGAUGUCAAGCCAAGGUAGACCUUUUAAAACAAGCAAACAGUAGGUUGGCAAAUCCUGAGAUUCUUGACAAGUGUCUCAACAACAGGGUGUGGGUGCUCAAGAUUUUUGAUGAUCUGAAAACUUUGCUGGAGAAAGGAUGAUCUUUGUAGUGAGGGAUGAGGGCAUCAAAGGGCACCUGCUAACAGUCAGAGUCAGUCUAGUCAGCUCAGCCUACCAAUUAUAGGGACCAGAUUCGCAUCAUUCUCUUCAUGCAAGGAAACAUGCACAUGUACUUAUCACCAAAGCUUAAAGGACCCAAAUUGUAAAAUCAAGGCUCAUCUUAAGUGUUUAUUUUUAUUCAUAUUUUUGUUCCUGGUUUGUGAGGAUUGGAGAGUGUAACUGAUGUUAACCAAUUAUGGUGCCAUAUGUUUCAAUCUACAUACAUUUAUAAAGAGCGUAAUAGGCAUAUCACAAUCUUAGUUUGGGAUACUAGGCUUUAAUCAGUUGCAGUUUAUGUUGAACUGAUAUUUUGUUACUAUUGAAACACUGCCUGAACUGGAAGAACUUUUCAGUUUGGAAAACAUCACAUUAUUGAAGGAAAUGAUUAGGCAUCACAAUGUAACUUGCUCCCAUGAGCUAAGGAUGCUCCCCUACAGUUUUUGUAAAUAUACAACAACAGUAUUCAAGUACCAAAAAAAAGUUUAAAGGUUAGAAAGUGACAUAGGUACAUGUAUGGAGUUUCACAAACAUACAUGUUUCAAUACAUUAAUUCUUUUCUGUUAGAACAUCACUAUAGCAUGCCAAAUAAGUCUUAUAGUUUCAAUGACAACAUCAUGAAGAGUUUGUUCUUAUCAGUGUAUACUGGUAAAUUAACAGCUAAGAAUCUUGAAAACUUCAAAUUUUGUUCCAAACAAUGUGCAUGCUUUUGGGGUUUGAAUUAAGACUGUAGUUGUGGUGAGCAGUGGACCACUGUAGUGGUAGUGCUUUGAAGGCUGAUGUUAUAUGUUGUUGUGAGUCAGCUUAAUGCGUAUGAUGAAAUUUUGUGAUAUUCUGUACUAUGUAAGUUUUAAACUGUGACUUAGACUCAAAACUAAUGCUGAUUGUCAUUGUUAAGGGUUUUUAUACUGUGUACUGUGAGGUAUGUCAUGUCAACUAUUAUUUAUGGUUUUUUUUUUAAAGAUUAUUUUAAGCUGAUACUGUUAAUUUUAAGAAAUGUUACUUUUAUAUGAUAAGUAUAUAUGUUUUGAAAGUGAUAGCAUUUAUUUCAAAUGCUGAUCAGAAAUGAUUAAACAAGCCAAUGAUGC
rnacentral:misc_RNA from 1 species